rnacentral:lncRNA from 1 species
UUCCAUCCGGGAUAGUCCUGGAAAUGAUCUUGAUGCUAUCUGUUCCUCAUUACAACAGACCUGCUCAACUUCAGCAGCUAGAAGGAGGAUUGUCUUUCACCAGCUGCAGGAGCCUGUUCCCACUACAGGCCUGGUGGAGUCUUCAGAGCAGAUCUGAUUGUCCUACUUGUGUAGAGAAGAGAAAAUGAGGCUCAGAAGAGACGCCUGGCUGAGUUUAACGGGACUGCAACAAGAAUUUUGCCUUUCUACUUUCUGGUACAGUGGUCUUUCCUUUGCCAUCAUGCCUUAGCAUAUCCAUACCCGUUGCAAAGAAUUUUCCUAAACAUCACCACUGAGGCUCCUUCCAGCAAUGACUCUGGUCCAUCAUUGGGAUUGCUGAGCAGUUGUUUCAUAACACGAGCAAGGAUGUUUUAACCAUGUUUCUUGACCUGGCCAUUUGGAUCCCAAGGAUGUUUUGGUCCGAGAAUAAAUUCCAGAGCUUAGCUCACCGAAGAAGACAGGAAAACUUGUCAGAUGGGGAAGGAUGUGUCAAGAGCAUGCACACAGAUUUACUCUUCAGCU